rnacentral:rRNA from 1 species
AUGAACGCUAGCGACAGGCUUAACACAUGCAAGUCGAGGGGCAGCACAGGUAGCAAUACCGGGUGGCGACCGGCGCACGGGUGAGUAACGCGUAUGCAACUUGCCUAUCAGAGGGGGAUAACCCGGCGAAAGUCGGACUAAUACCGCAUGAAGCAGGGGCCCCGCAUGGGGAUAUUUGCUAAAGAUUCAUCGCUGAUAGAUAGGCAUGCGUUCCAUUAGGCAGUUGGCGGGGUAACGGCCCACCAAACCGACGAUGGAUAGGGGUUCUGAGAGGAAGGUCCCCCACAUUGGUACUGAGACACGGACCAAACUCCUACGGGAGGCAGCAGUGAGGAAUAUUGGUCAAUGGGCGUAAGCCUGAACCAGCCAAGUCGCGUGAGGGAUGAAGGUUCUAUGGAUCGUAAACCUCUUUUAUAAGGGAAUAAAGUGCGGGACGUGUCCCGUUUUGUAUGUACCUUAUGAAUAAGGAUCGGCUAACUCCGUGCCAGCAGCCGCGGUAAUACGGAGGAUCCGAGCGUUAUCCGGAUUUAUUGGGUUUAAAGGGUGCGUAGGCGGCCUUUUAAGUCAGCGGUGAAAGUCUGUGGCUCAACCAUAGAAUUGCCGUUGAAACUGGGGGGCUUGAGUAUGUUUGAGGCAGGCGGAAUGCGUGGUGUAGCGGUGAAAUGCAUAGAUAUCACGCAGAACCCCGAUUGCGAAGGCAGCCUGCCAAGCCAUUACUGACGCUGAUGCACGAAAGCGUGGGGAUCAAACAGGAUUAGAUACCCUGGUAGUCCACGCAGUAAACGAUGAUCACUAGCUGUUUGCGAUACACUGUAAGCGGCACAGCGAAAGCGUUAAGUGAUCCACCUGGGGAGUACGCCGGCAACGGUGAAACUCAAAGGAAUUGACGGGGGCCCGCACAAGCGGAGGAACAUGUGGUUUAAUUCGAUGAUACGCGAGGAACCUUACCCGGGUUUGAACGCAUUCGGACCGAGGUGGAAACACCUUUUCUAGCAAUAGCCGUUUGCGAGGUGCUGCAUGGUUGUCGUCAGCUCGUGCCGUGAGGUGUCGGCUUAAGUGCCAUAACGAGCGCAACCCUUGCCACUAGUUACUAACAGGUGAUGCUGAGGACUCUGGUGGGACUGCCAGCGUAAGCUGCGAGGAAGGCGGGGAUGACGUCAAAUCAGCACGGCCCUUACAUCCGGGGCGACACACGUGUUACAAUGGCGUGGACAAAGGGAGGCCACCUGGCGACAGGGAGCGAAUCCCCAAACCACGUCUCAGUUCGGAUCGGAGUCUGCAACCCGACUCCGUGAAGCUGGAUUCGCUAGUAAUCGCGCAUCAGCCAUGGCGCGGUGAAUACGUUCCCGGGCCUUGUACACACCGCCCGUCAAGCCAUGGGAGCCGGGGGUACCUGAAGUCCGUAACCGAAAGGAUCGGCCUAGGGUAAAACUGGUGACUGGGGCU